UGGAAGAAGAUAUAACUUUCUUAUUUCAUUAAAUGUUCAAGUGUAUUACAUCUCAUAUUUUAUAUUUCUAUUUAUAUUAUUACAUACGAAGGUUACAAAAUAAUUGUCUUAAAUAUGACACUAAUAAUUGAGAUUAUGUGAGAAGAUCAUGGUAGAGAUUAUGGAGACGCGGGAGUUACAAUUAUAAUAGUAAUGAGUAAUGAAAAAUUAUUCAAAUUAUGAAAAAAAAUAGUGAAAGUAGCAC
rnacentral:lncRNA from 1 species